UUCGGGAUGCCGGCGAGUGGCGAACGGGUGCGUAACGCGUGGAAACCUGCCCUGAGAUGGGGGACAACAGCUGGAAACGGCUGCUAAUACCGCAUAAGCCCUACGGGGGAAAGACGCAAGUCGUCUUGGGAGGGGUCCGCGUCGGAUUAGCCUGUUGGCGAGGUAAUGGCUCACCAAGGCGAUGAUCCGUAGCUGGUCUGAGAGGACGAUCAGCCACACUGGGACUGAGACACGGCCCAGACUCCUACGGGAGGCAGCAGUGGGGAAUAUUGCGCAAUGGGGGAAACCCUGACGCAGCGAUGCCGCGUGGGUGAAGAAGGUCUUCGGAUUGUAAAGCCCUUUCAGUGGGAAAGAUGAUGACGGUACCCACAGAAGAAGCUCCGGCUAACUCCGUGCCAGCAGCCGCGGUAAUACGGAGGGGGCGAGCGUUGUUCGGAAUUACUGGGCGUAAAGGGCGCGUAGGCUGUUUUGCAAG
rnacentral:rRNA from 1 species